rnacentral:rRNA from 1 species
CGCGUAGGCGGGUCGUUAAGUUAGAGGUGAAAGCCCAGGGCUCAACCCUGGAAUUGCCUUUAAAACUGGCGGCCUUGAGUAUAGCAGAGGUGUGUGGAACUCCGAGUGUAGAGGUGAAAUUCGUAGAUAUUCGGAAGAACACCAGUGGCGAAGGCGACACACUGGGCCAUUACUGACGCUGAGGCGCGAAAGCGUGGGGAGCAAACA